rnacentral:tRNA from 2 species
UGGGGUAUCGCCAAGCGGUAAGGCACCGGAUUCUGAUUCCGGCAUUCCGAGGUUCGAAUCCUCGUACCCCAGCCC